rnacentral:tRNA from 1 species
GGAGGGUUGCCCGAGCGGCCAAAGGGAGCGGACUGUAAAUCCGCCGGAAAUUUCCUACGUUGGUUCGAAUCCAACACCCUCCA